rnacentral:rRNA from 1 species
UACAGAGGUCUCAAGCGUUGUUCGGAUUCAUUGGGCGUAAAGGGUGCGUAGGCGGCGCGGUAAGUCGGGUGUGAAAUCUCGGGGCUUAACUCCGAAACUGCAUUCGAUACUGCCGUGCUUGAGGACUGGAGAGGAGACUGGAAUUUACGGUGUAGCGGUGAAAUGCGUAGAUAUCAGGAAGAACACCAACGGCGAAGGCAGCUCGCUGGGACGGUACUGACGCUGAGACGCGAAAGCGUGGGGAGCGAACAGG